GGUAGUUUCACGCAUGAUACAGCCUGUACUCCAUGGAGAAGGCAGCCCAGCUGGAAGGCUGCAGAGUGUUUUAAACGCUGUGUCUCAUAACCUGUGAUCACUGGACGCCGGUGGUCUGAAAUGCUUUUCCAGAAGAAGAACUGUCUUAUGGAAGAGAGGAGGGGGGGCUGUCCAUGGUGCUGAAAAUGGAGGUGGUCUUCUCCAGAAGAAGCAUCUGGCCAUGCUUGUUGCAGAGGGACGUGAAGAGAGGGGGGGCUGUCCAUGUUGCUGAAACAGGGUACGCACACAGACAGACAGACAGACGCACACACAGACACACACACACACAC